rnacentral:rRNA from 1 species
AUGGAUGAGCCCAGCGAGAUGCCACAGAUGAUUGAUGCCAUAAGAACGAUGCUGGAGUUAUUGGGUGAUGGUGAAACAUCGACGAAUAUUUCUGCCUACGACACGGCAUUGGUCGCCCUUGUCAAGAACCUUGAGGGAGGUGAUGGACCGCAAUUCCCCUCAUGCAUUGACUGGAUUGUUCAAAAUCAACUACCGGAUGGUUCAUGGGGUGACCCCGCUUUCUUUCUGGUCCAAGAUCGGAUGAUAAGCACCCUGGCAUGUGUGGUGGCAGUGAAGUCUUGGAAAAUUGACAACGCCAACUUGUGUGAUAGAGGUGUGUCAUUUAUCCAAGAAAAUAUGAGCAGGUUGGUAGAAGAGGAACAGGACUGGAUGCCAUCCGGCUUCGAGAUUAACUUCCCAGCACUCCUAGACAGGGCCAAGGACCUGUAUUUGGACAUCCCUUAUAAUCACCCUGUUUUGGAAGAGAUAUAUGCCAAGAGAAAUCUAAAGCUCUCGAAGAUCCCUCUGGAACUACUACACGCCACACCAACCACCCUACUUUUCAGCUUGGAGGGAAUGGCAAACUUGCAGUUGGACUGGGAAAAGCUCCUCAAGUUGCGGUGUCCGGACGGCUCCUUCCACUCAUCGCCUGCUGCCACAGCUGCUGCCCUCUGUCACACCGGUGACAAGGAAUGCCUUGCGUUUCUGGAGAGGCUCGUCAAGAAGUUCGACGGGGGAGUGCCAUGUACCCACGCGAUGGAUAUUUUUGAGCACUUAUGGGUGGUCGAUCGGCUGAUGCGUCUGGGGAUAUCAAGGCACUUCACAUGUGAAAUUGAGCAGUGCAUGGAUUAUAUUUACAGGCGCUGGACUCAAAAGGGACUGGCUCAUAACGCGCACUGCCCAACCACGGAUAUUGAUGACACGGCCAUGGGUUUCCGUCUCCUCCGUCAGCAUGGCUAUGACGUCACUCCAUCCGUGUUUAAGCACUUUGAGAAGGACGGCAAGUUUGUAUGCUUCCCCAUGGAGACGAACCACUCAUCUGUCACCCCAAUGCACAACACUUAUCGUGCAUCUCAAUUUAUGUUCGCCGGUGACGACAACGUCCUAGCACGGGCUGGGCACUAUUGCCAUUCAUUCCUCCAAGAGAGACAAGCCUCCAACAAACUGUACGACAAGUGGAUCAUCGCCAAGGACCUGCCGGGUGAGGUUGAGUACGCACUGAACUUCCCAUGGAAAGCAAGUCUGCCUCGAAUUGAAACAAGGAUGUAUCUGGAUCAGUAUGGAGGCAACACCGAUGUUUGGAUAGGCAAGGUCCUCUACAGAAUGAAACUUGUGAGCAGUGACCUGUACCUUAAAAUGGCAAAAGCUGAGUUCAGAGAAUAUCAAAGGCUCUCCCGACUUGAGUGGGAUGGCCUCAGAAAGUGGUAUUUCAGGAACCAUCUGCAGAGGUAUGGUGGCACUCCAAAGAGUGCGCUCACGGCUUACUUCUUAGCUGCAGCAAACAUCUUCGAACCUGGCCGAGCAGCAGAGCGUCUAGGAUGGGCUCGCAUGGCAGUGCUUGCCGGGGCGGUGACCUCUCACUUUCGACACACUGGGGGGGCAAAGGACUCAACUGAGAAUCUUGAAGACCUCAUUGACCUUGUCUCGGUUGACGACGCUUCUGGUGCUCUUCAUGAAGCUUGGAAGCAGUGGCUCAUGGCAUGGACUGCAAAGGAGAGGUGUGAAUCCCUUGAAGGGGAUACAGCACUGUUGUUGGUUUGCACAGUCGAGAUCUGCUCAGGAAGGCAUGUUACGACCGAGCAAAACCUCAACCUUUGGGAGUAUUCCCAGCUCGAGCAGCUCACCUCUUCCAUCUGCCGCAAGCUUGCCACAAUAGUUCUUGCUCAGAAUGGGGCAAGUAUGGAGAACACAGAGGGCUCACACCGGCAAGUGGAUUUGGAGAUGCAAGAACUAUCUUGGCGUGUUCAUCAGGGUUGCCAUGGCAUCAACAUAGAGACCAGGAAGACAUUUCUCAACGUUGUGAAAAGCUUCUAUUACUCGGCUCAUUGCUCACAUGAAACAGUCGAUAGCCACAUCGCAAAGGUCAUAUUCCAGGAUGUCAUUUAG